ACUUCUCGCAGGUGGAUAACUAGCUAGGCAGCAUGAGCUUCACGGCGCAACAGCUUUCCCAUCCAGAAUCACAACAUUCGCACAAGUUGGCUUGGUCAGUGCCGGCUCAACCACUGUCGACUACAAGGAGUACAUCGUGAGGCCGGUGCAAGCUUCCUCGUCCUGGGGGCAGCGACAGAUUCAGAUGGCAACAAUGUGGAACAUCAGGCGAUGACUCCUUUGAAGAUGAAUCUACAAAACAAGAUACAACGGUGCUACUGAAACUCAGCGAGUGAGAAAUCCUGGUCCAACCAGUAGAUCCCACCAUGAGGUUAAGAAAAAAGGAAAAACCAGAUUGGUUUUCUGAAGCAGAUGAAAUAUGUUUCCCUAGUGAUUUUGGCAUUAGUGAUGAAGAUGAGCCUGAAGGAUCCUAUAAAGUACCAGGUGGUAGGAAGAGAAGGAAUAAAAAUUUGAAGGACAUGAUAUGGUUUAAUGGCAUACUUCCAGGACCAGUAGGACAAUUUUGUAAGGGAUUGUGCUUCACUAGUGUCUAUGAGUUCAGAAAUGCACUUAGGGAUUUCCACAUUAGGACUUUGAGGAUUUUUCAAUAUCAUAGAAAUGCCCCUAAUAGGAUUAUUGUUUGCUCUCGGAGAGAGCCCAGGGAUGUGACUUUUAUAUCGAUGCCUCUAAGUUAGCUCAUGAAAAAACUUUCUGCAUCAAGAAGUAUGAUAUGCUGCAUACUUGUAGAGCAUGUGCAGAGACCACAAAGGUUACUACAAAGUGAUUGUCCAGGUCAGUACAGGCAUCACUGAGAGACAUUAGAUCUCCUGUGGAUGCAUUAAUUAAAAAUACCAAGACUAAGUUUUCAAUGGAUGUGUCAAGAAGUGUGUCAUAUAGGGUAAGGAGGAAGGAUGUUGAUGUGGUGCAAGGUGACCACAAGCAAUAGUACUUGAGGCUUAGGGAUUAUCUUCAAGCAGUUCUUGAUACAAACCCUGGUAGCAAGUGUAUAGUAACAACAUUUGAAGAUCCAGAUAACCCAACACCUCCUAGAUUCAAGUAUAUGUUCAUCUGUUUAGUAGCUUCAAAGGAAGGUUUCCUUAAUGGUUGCAGGCCAUUUAUAUGUAAAUUUUGUUGAUUUUCUUGUUUC